AUUGUACGCUGGCGGCAGGCUUAACACAUGCAAGUCGAGCGGGGUGAUGGUGCUUGCACUAUCACUUAGCGGCGGACGGGUGAGUAAUGCUUAGGAAUCUGCCUAUUAGUGGGGGACAACAUCUCGAAAGGGAUGCUAAUACCGCAUACGUCCUACGGGAGAAAGCAGGGGAUCACUUGUGACCUUGCGCUAAUGGAUGAGCCUAAGUCGGAUUAGCUAGUUGGUGGGGUAAAGGCCUACCAAGGCGACGAUCUGUAGCGGGUCUGAGAGGAUGAUCCGCCACACUGGGACUGAGACACGGCCCAGACUCCUACGGGAGGCAGCAGUGGGGAAUAUUGGACAAUGGGGGGAACCCUGAUCCAGCCAUGCCGCGUGUGUGAAGAAGGCCUUAUGGUUGUAAAGCACUUUAAGCGAGGAGGAGGCUCUUUUGGUUAAUACCCAAGAUGAGUGGACGUUACUCGCAGAAUAAGCACCGGCUAACUCUGUGCCAGCCGCCGCGGUAA
rnacentral:rRNA from 1 species